UCCGGUUUGCCACCGGCAGUUUCCCAUGAGUCCCCAACUGAAUGCUGGCAACUGAAGAUGGGGGUUGCGCUCGUUGCGGGACUUAACCCAACAUCUCACGACACGAGCUGACGACAGCCAUGCAGCACCUGUGCAUACUGGUAUUGCUACCUCGUCAGGCUUUCACCCUUCUACUAUAUGCAUGUCAAGGCCAGGUAAGGUUCUUCGCGUUGCAUCGAAUUGAGCCACAUACUCCACCGCUUGUGCAGGCCCCCGUCAAUUUCUUUGAGUUUCAGUCUUGCGACCGUACUCCCCAGGCGGAGUGCUUAAUGUGUUGACUUCGGCACAGCAGGGGUCGAUACCCGCUACACCAAGCACUCAUCGUUUACGGCGUGGACUAC
rnacentral:misc_RNA from 1 species